rnacentral:rRNA from 1 species
UACGUAGGGGGCGAGCGUUAAUCGGAUUUACUGGGCGUAAAGCGUGCGCAGGCGGUCCGCUAAGACAGGUGUGAAAUCCCUGGGCUCAACCUAGGAAUUGCGCUUGUGACUGGCGGGCUAGAGUACGGUAGAGGGGGGUGGAAUUCCUGGUGUAGCAGUGAAAUGCGUAGAGAUCAGGAGGAACACCGAUGGCGAAGGCAGCCCCCUGGGCCUGUACUGGCGCCCAGGCACGAAAGCGUGGGGAGCAAACAGG